rnacentral:sRNA from 1 species
GGCCUACUUGUGUCGUGGAGAGCUGAUCUUUGUUUAUUUACGUAUCCAUAGUUUUAACAAAACGGACAGGACACUUAUAAAACCUGUUUUGGCUUUUUAUAAGAAUUUGUAUGGAGUUAAAACAGUGAAAUGAGUCGUCCAAACAUACGGUCACUCUGGAGGCUUCUUUUGACAAUGUGCGCUUUAAUUCAGAGAAUGCUAGCACAAAAUGAUACUAAUAGCUAUGAUCCCAUAUUUACACAAUCUGCUUACAUGUACAACGUCACUGAGGGACAGUCAGUUGGAACACAGCUUGGCAGUGUAACAAUCCACUCUGAAUAAAGUUUAGUAGCAACUGUUGUUCUUGGUACUUGGACUGGAGUAGACUGGUGUGGACUGUUACUCAACUUUCCAGCUAGUCUUAAAGUUGAAUGUAAGAACUACCACAAACAGACGAGCUCGCAAACUGAACAGUGAAUUCCAGACCUAGUCUUUGUAAUGUAGCCUACUCAUCAACAGAUGUAAAUCUAAUCGUCUUUCCAGCCCCUUGGUUCUCUUAUUCUGUUCUCUGCCCUG